GAUGAACGCUGACGGCGUGCUUAGCACAUGCAAGUCGAACGGUGAAAGCGGGAGCUUGCUCCUGCUGGAUCAGUGGCGAACGGGUGAGUAACACGUGAGCAAUCUGCCCCGAACUCUGGGAUAAGCGCUGGAAACGGCGUCUAAUACCGGAUACGACGCGCGAAGGCAUCUUCUGCGCGUGGAAAGAAUUUCGGUUCGGGAUGAGCUCGCGGCCUAUCAGCUAGUUGGUGGGGUAAGGGCUCACCAAGGCGACGACGGGUAGCCGGCCUGAGAGGGUGACCGGCCACACUGGGACUGAGACACGGCCCAGACCCCUACGGGAGGCAGCAGUGGGGAAUAUUGCACAAUGGGCGAAAGCCUGAUGCAGCAACGCCGCGUGAGGGACGACGGCCUUCGGGUUGUAAACCUCUUUUAGUAGGGAAGAAGCGAAAGUGACGGUACCUGCAGAAAAAGCACCGGCUAACUACGUGCCAGCAGCCGCCGUAAAAC
rnacentral:rRNA from 1 species